rnacentral:rRNA from 1 species
AGUGAACGCUGGCGGCGUGCUUAACACAUGCAAGUCGAACGAGAACGGGUUAUAGCUUGCUAUAAUUGUCAGCUAAGUGGCGCACGGGUGAGUAAUGUAUAGGUAAUAUGCCUCUUACUAAGGGAUAACAAAGGGAAACGUUUGCUAAUACCUUAUACUCCUUAUUAACAUAAGUUAAUAAGGGAAAGAUUUAUUGGUAAGAGAUUAGCCUGUAUUGUAUCAGUUAGUUGGUGGGGUAAUGGCUUACCAAGACUAUGACACAUAACUGGUUUGAGAGAAUGAUCAGUCACACUGGAACUGAGACACGGUCCAGACUCCUACGGGAGGCAGCAGUGGGGAAUAUUGCACAAUGGACGAAAGUCUGAUGCAGCAACGCCGCGUGGAGGAUGAUACAUUUCGGUGCAUAAACUCCUUUUAUAUGAGAAGAUAAUGACGGUAUUAUAUGAAUAAGCACCGGCUAACUCCGUGCCAGCAGCCGCCGUAACAC